rnacentral:rRNA from 1 species
CGCUCUAUAACCCUUUGUGAACAUACCUAUACUGUUGCUUCGGCGGGUAGGGUCUCCGCGACCCUCCCGGCCUCCCGCCUCCGGGCGGGUCGGCGCCCGCCGGAGGAUAACCAAACUCUGAUUUAACGACGUUUCUUCUGAGUGGUACAAGCAAAUAAUAAAACUUUUACAACGGAUCUCUUGGUUCUGGCAUCAUGAAGAACGCAGCGAAAUGCGAUAAGUAAUGUGAAUUGCAGAAUUCAGUGAAUCAUCAAUCUUUGAACGCACAUUGCGCCCGCCGCAUUCUGGCGGGAUGCCUGUUCAGCGUCAUUUCACCCUCAAGCUCUGCUUGGUGUUGGGGCCCUACAGCUGAUGUAGGCCCUCAAAGGUAGUGGCGGACCCUCCCGGAGCCUCCUUUUGCGUAGUAACUUUACGUCUCGCACUGGGAUCCGGGGGACUCUUGCCGUAAAACCCCCCAAUUCUCCAAAGUUGACCUCGG